rnacentral:rRNA from 1 species
GCGGAAGAUCAAGUCAGCGGUAAAAUUGAGAGGCUCAACCUCUUCGAGCCGUUGAAACUGGUUUUCUUGAGUGAGCGAGAAGUAUGCGGAAUGCGUGGUGUAGCGGUGAAAUGCAUAGAUAUCACGCAGAACUCCGAUUGCGAAGGCAGCAUACCGGCGCUCAACUGACGCUCAUGCACGAAAGUGUGGGUAUCGAACAGGAUUAGAUACCCUGGUAGUCCACACAGUAAACGAUGAAUACUAAUUGUUCGGGGAGAAUGAUCCCUGAGUGAUACAGCGAAAGCGUUAAGUAUUCCACCUGGGGAGUACGCCGGCAACGGUGAAACUCAAAGGAAUUGACGGGGGCCCGCACAAGCGGAGGAACAUGUGGUUUAAUUCGAUGAUACGCGAGGAACCUUACCCGGGCUCAAACGACACAGGAAUACUUUUGAAAGGAAGUAGCUUUACGGAGCCUGUGUCGAGGUGCUGCAUGGUUGUCGUCAGCUCGUGCCGUGAGGUGUCGGCUUAAGUGCCAUAACGAGCGCAACCCUUAUCUUCAGUAGCCAGCAGGUAAAGCCGGGCACUCUGGAGAGACUGCCGGGGAUAACCCGGAGGAAGGUGGGGAUGACGUCAAAUCAUCAUGCCCCUUAUGAUUUGGGCUACACACGUGCUACAAUGGCGUAAACAGAGGGAAGCGAGCCCGCGAGGGGGAGCAAAUCCCAAAAAUAACGUCCCAGUUCGGAUUGUAGUCUGCAACCCGACUACAUGAAGCUGGAAUCGCUAGUAAUCGCGGAUCAGAAUGCCGCGGUGAAUACGUUCCCGGGUCUUGUACACACCGCCCGUCAAGCCAUGGGAGCCGGGGGUGCCUGAAGGCCGUGACCGCGAGGAGCGGCCUAGGGUAAAACUGGUGACUGGGGCUAAGUCGUAACAAGGUAGCCA